UAAGAAGUGGUGUAGUGGGAGCACAGAGGGUUUUGAGCCCUCUGGGGAGGGUUCGAGGCCCUUCUUCUUAA
rnacentral:tRNA from 1 species